UGUCAGGGGACCGGUGCUGCGGCCCCUGCGGCCGCCCACGGGGCACCUGGACGCGGAGUACGCGCCACCUUGGCGCCUAGUCCCUGAGGCACGGAGGUCCCGGCUCGGAAAAGAACGCUGUUUAGGCGCGGCCUAACCACCUAAGUGAGGGCACUGAAGCUGCCUGGGGAAGGGCAAGGCCCGCGUCGCCGCGCUCGGGCUCGGAGCCCUGGAUUUGUUUGGGUUAAUGGAGAUUAUAAAAAAGCCAAAACUGGUGAGGAUAGAGAUCAAUGCCAGCAGGAAUACAGGGAAAGGGAAAAUCUCAUGCUCAGUUGCCGGAGAAAUAAGAAAACGGAGGCAUAAAGAGGGUUAGAAACUUGCCCUAAUUCCGUUAGCUCAAAAGUGGAAGAGCUGGGAUUCAAAUCCAGAGAAGUGUCCACUUCAGGUGAGUGAUCUUAACCUCACAUUCUGCUGCCUUCUGGUUUAGUUUCUCCCUGGAAGCAGCUACUAGACU